GUACUUGCUUCGGCAGUACAUAUACUAAAUUUGGAACGAUACAAAGAAGAUUAGCAUGGCCCCUGCGCAAGAAUGACACACAAAAUCGUGAAGCGUUCCACAUUAUU